rnacentral:rRNA from 1 species
GGGGAAUAUUGGACAAUGGGCGCAAGCCUGAUCCAGCCAUGCCGCGUGAGUGAUGAAGGCCCUAGGGUUGUAAAGCUCUUUCAACGGUGAAGAUAAUGACGGUAACCGUAGAAGAAGCCCCGGCUAACUUCGUGCCAGCAGCCGCGGUAAUACGAAGGGGGCUAGCGUUGUUCGGAAUUACUGGGCGUAAAGCGCACGUAGGCGGAUUGGUCAGUUAGGGGUGAAAUCCCAGGGCUCAACCCUGGAACUGCCUUUAAUACUGCCGGUCUAGAGUUCGAGAGAGGUGAGUGGAAUUCCGAGUGUAGAGGUGAAAUUCGUAGAUAUUCGGAGGAACACCAGUGGCGAAGGCGGCUCACUGGCUCGAUACUGACGCUGAGGUGCGAAAGCGUGGGGAGCAAAC